AUCAGACUCCAAGGAGAGGCCAACAGAUGAGGGAGCCAUUUUUCUGCAAUGGAAUUAAAUGGCCAAAGCACUAAACAGCCCUCAGCGAAGCCGCCUUUUUGCCAGCCCAACCCUGGAAAGUUUGCAGUCGUGGAAGGAGCAGAAAUACCACGAGUGUAACUUACAAAGAAGGUCUUGGCCGGAGACCGGAGCCAUGUCUGUGUUAUCCCCACUGUAGACAAUCCUUGCUUCCUCUGGACAUCUGGAGCAGGCCCAAUUUGACUGAGAGCCUUCCCCCACUAAGUUACAGAUCCAGCCCCACCAUCACCACCAGAGUUGAGUCCAAAUCCAACACUCUAGGCCGGGUAGUGCUGGGACUUUGCCAGCCUCCUGCUGAGAAGUGAAUUCUCCCCUUGGCAAACUGCAGCCAGCCAGCCUCCUGGGUCGAGAGCCAAGCCAAAAGAUGUCUGAGAGAAGAAACCUGGGGUCCUGCAAAGGUAAGUGGGUCCCAGCCCACUCUCAAUCCCCCUCUCUCUGUGUGAUUGCUAUUCCACACUGGAGUCACCUGCUCUGUGCUUCUGAGGAACCUCACCUCUGGCACAUCAAUGGAAAUUGUCCUUCCCUUUUUAUUUAUUUUUAUUUAUUUUUUAUUUUUUGCCACCCUCACUGGCCACUAAGAGAUAGCCCUAGCUCCUCCUCUCCUGCCUGGUUUUGACAGGACUCACUCCAUUGAGUCCUGUCUCGUCUCUUUGCAGCCCUCCUCCUCCCCCCCCCCCCCCUUCAGCCAGCACUUAGGCCCUCCCUGAUUUAGCCCGUUACCUUGACAACCACUUGGGCCUGUCUCCCUCAUCACCACUGAAAACCUGAAGGUGGUUUUCCAGCUGCGGUACAUUUGCCCAAGUUGGGCACCCCUCCAGCUUCUAUUGGCUCGCCCUCUAUACAGCUGUACCCAAUAUAACAAACACAACCUUCCUGGCCCCUCAGCUGUAGUCUCGAAAUUGAUCUCACUGGUCCCGGGAACUCCGUCAAUACUGCCUCCUCUAGACUGAGCUCCUCACAGGCAGGAACAUGGUUGUUUCUCAAUAAACAAGUUGCAAAAAAAGGAA